rnacentral:piRNA from 1 species
UCAUAUGGAGACAUUUUCUUGAUGC